AGAUGCGCACAAGUACAUCAGCUCCCAUGCUUUAAUCAAAGAAUGCCUCUCUGGAUUAUUCCUUGUUUGUUUUGAAAUUUGUGCAAACAUUUCAUCUCGAAGCUCAGAUCGCUUCAGGGCCUGCUUAAAUAGCUUGCCAACGAGUUCAAUCCGUUCAUCAAAGCUAAUUGGAGCCACUCUAUCAUAGGAAUCAAUACCCAUAUACUUCAG
rnacentral:misc_RNA from 1 species